UUUCUACCCCCUCCGUCCGAAAAUACUUGUCAUCAAAUGGAUAAAAAUAGAUGUAUCUAAAACUAAAAUACGUCUAGAUACAUUUCCUUUUAUCCAUUUUGAUGACAAGUAUUUCCGGACGGAGGGAGUAUUUG
rfam:Triticum aestivum genome assembly, contig: Triticum_aestivum_CS42_TGACv1_scaffold_135035_2BL